rnacentral:rRNA from 1 species
AUGUGUGCGGUAGGUGGCCCCACAUGGCAUAGACAUGUGUCGCUUCAUUCCCAGCUACCUCUAAUCCGUACCCAACAACCUUCGCCGGCGAGGCAGAGCGCCACCAACCAACCCGGGCUGCCGCCGGCCCGCCGUGCCCCCCUCGCCAUGUCCAUCCACCUCCGCGCCCACGCCUUCGCGGCCAACCCGCUGCGCGGCCUCGCCGGCACGCGCUCCUCCGGUGCCGUCUCCCCCUCCGCGGCCGCCGAGGCCCUCCGCGCCCUCCUCGACGGCGCCGACGCCGCCGCCGGACACCACCUCUCCAGGGUCCUCCCGUUCCGCCGCGGCCGCCCCCUCGCGCGCUCCCCGGACCCUCCUGCUUCCUCGUCCUCGUCCCCCGCGCCGCCGCCGGCCUGGCGCCUCGCGUGGCUCCCGCCCUCGCGCGUCCCCGGCGUCCCCUCGGACGUCUUCGUGUUCCUGGGCUCCCACGGCGGCGAGGGGGGCGGCGAGGAGGCCGCCGCGUACUGGGCCGUCGACGUCAGCGAGGUGGAGGGCGCCAGGUUCGGCGGCGCGGGGGAGGAGUCGGCGUUCGUCGACUUGAGGACGCUCAUGGUGGCCGCCGACUGGAGGGACAAGGACGCCAUGGGGGAGCUCGCCGUCGCCGGCCACGCUCGAGCGCUGCUAGAAUGGCACAACACGGCGAAAUUCUGCGGAGCGUGCGGGGCAAAGGCAGUUCCUACCGAAGCCGGGACGCGGAAGCAGUGCAGCAACGAGUCCUGCAAGAAGAGGAUAUACCCGCGAGUUGACCCCGUUGUGAUUAUGUUGGUCAUUGAUAAACAAAAUGACCGCGCUCUCUUAAGCCGGCAGUCAAGAUUUGUGCCCCGGAUGUGGAGUUGUCUUGCUGGUUUUAUAGAGCCAGGGGAAAGCUUGGAAGAGGCAGUGAGAAGGGAAACAUGGGAAGAAACUGGGAUCGAAGUUGGGCAAGUCAUUUACCACAGUUCUCAACCAUGGCCUGUUGGGCCAAAUACCAUGCCAUGCCAGCUGAUGGUGGGUUUCUUUGCUUAUGCUAAAUCAUUGGACAUACAUGUUGAUAAAAAAGAGCUUGAAGAUGCCCAGUGGCACAGCCGUGAGGACGUCAAGAAGGCGCUAACGUUUGCCGAGUACGAGAAAGCCCAGAGAUCAAGCGCGCUCAAGGUCAAGCAGAUAUGCAAGGGCGCCGAGAGAGGGCAGAGCACCUCCUCCGACCUCAGGGUGGAGAGCGAGGAACCCGCUCCGAUGUUCGUCCCCGGGCCCUACGCCAUUGCUCACCACCUCAUAUCGUCGUGGGCCUUCGAAGGGGCGCCGAAGGUGCCCAGCUCCUUCUCCAACCUAUGA